CGCGUCCGUUCCGUGGGAACAGGCCCUGAACUGGACUGCCAGUUCCCACGAAAACAGGUGGCAACAAAGUGGUGAACACACGCACACAGAGCAAGGGGUGCGCAUGAACGUUCACGAACACGCACCAGCGAAACCUGCACACAAAAGAUACGCACUCGACAGGACUAAACGCGCACACAAGAGAUCACGCACUCGACAGGACCCAUGCGCAGACACUCUGGGGACACUCGGGGACACGCACACUCGCGCAAGCGAGGCUCUAGGCGGGGGUCGCGAUCGCAGGAGGCGCGGCCACGCGCGCUGGGGGACGCGCAGCCCACAGACCAGAGCAGUGACACAAAGGGGGGCCCCCCGCAGAGGCCGAGAGCGCCUACGCAGCCGCCAGGGAGCACGGACACCGACACAAAGGGGGCCACAUGGCGACACGCGAGCGUGGGCCCCUGCACCCAUAGGGGAUGUCAGCCACGCACCGGCCGACGCACGGGCAGGGGAGAUGCGCACAAAGGGAGUACUCCCACCCUCGCCCUGGCAUCGCAGGGCCUCGCUCGCGAAGGGGGCACCAGACCAAGGGGAAAAACCCACUGGGGCAGGCAAUGGCGGCCACACCCCCUCAUCUCGCGGGACCCCAGCCCACGCAAACACAGCAGGCACGGCAGCGAGGGACGCGGGGCGACGCGCACACACCCACACUCACCACACACCCACAGAGGGGGUGUGGAAGACCCCGCUCCCCCGGCAUCUCGGCUGCAGCAGGACAAGUUGACACAUCCGGGAGCCCUGCCGCACGCUGGAUGUGCACUCACCGGGGCCCGCCGCCCGCGAGCCUCGACGCUGGCCGGCGCCACCGCCGCAGCCGCCGCCGCCGCCGCCACCUCCGGCCCUCCAAGUCAGCUGACAGCUGGAGGGAGCGAGCGGAGGCGCUAAAGGCAGGCGCGUCACGUGGGCUAGCAGCGCGCAGGCGCAGUAGCGCUGCACCGCCCCCUCCUUCGUCGCCGCGAGCCAAACGGAUCCCGCGGGCCCCCGCGCUCUCUGGCUCCUACCCGAGGAGGGUCGUCGUGCGCCUGCGCCAGGGUGGGAGCGCCGUCGCUAGGCCUUUCACUCAGUUUUUUGUCUUUCCGCCCCCACUGCGGCUACCAAGUCGGCGCCUGCGCAGAGAUCUCAGCGCUGAGGCGGCAGAGGUGUCGGGCGGGGCCUGGAUUGUCUAAAGCCCUAGGAAAAAUGGUGGAAAAUUCACCGUCGCCAUUGCCAGAAAGAGCGAUUUAUGGCUUUGUUCUUUUCUUAGGCUCCCAAUUUGUCUUCAUACUUUACCUCGUGUGGGCUUUUAUUCCUGAAUCUUGGCUAAACUC